rnacentral:piRNA from 1 species
UACAAUGUUGAUCCUGCCAAUCCAUGAGC